rnacentral:rRNA from 1 species
UACGUAGGAGGCGAGCGUUGUCCGGAUUUACUGGGCGUAAAGCGCGCGCAGGCGGCAUGGCAAGUAAGGUGUGAAAUCUCCCUGCCUAACGGGGAGGGUGCACUUUAGACUGCCAAGCUAGAGGACGGUAGAGGGGGGUAGAAUUGCUGGUGUAGCGGUGAAAUGCGUAGAUAUUGGGAGGAACACCAGUGGCGAAGGCGGCUCACUGGACCGGUACUGACGCUGAUGCGCGAAAACGUGGGGAGCAAACGGG